rnacentral:rRNA from 1 species
AGUGAACGCUGGCGGUAGGCCUAACACAUGCAAGUCGAACGGCAGCACAGUAAGAGCUUGCUCUUACGGGUGGCGAGUGGCGGACGGGUGAGGAAUACAUCGGAAUCUACUUUUUCGUGGGGGAUAACGUAGGGAAACUUACGCUAAUACCGCAUACGACCUACGGGUGAAAGCAGGGGAUCUUCGGACCUUGCGCGAUUGAAUGAGCCGAUGUCGGAUUAGCUAGUUGGCGGGGUAAAGGCCCACCAAGGCGACGAUCCGUAGCUGGUCUGAGAGGAUGAUCAGCCACACUGGAACUGAGACACGGUCCAGACGCCUACGGGAGGCAGCAGUGGGGAAUAUUGGACAAUGGGCGCAAGCAUGAUCCAGCCAUACCGCGUGGGUGAAGAAGGCCUUCGGGUUGUAAAGCCCUUUUGUUGGGAAAGAAAAGCAGCAGGUUAAUACCCCGCUGUUCUGACGGUACCCAAAGAAUAAGCACCGGCUAACUUCGUG